GACGAACGCUGGCGGCGUGCUUAACACAUGCAAGUCGAACGGACAGGUCCUGCUCUUGUGGGUUGCACGAUAGGGGCGCGCGUGAGUAUAACAUGAGUAAAAUCCCCUUGUAUUAGGGAUAACUUCAGGGGAAACGGGCGAAAACACCGUAGAAGAUCCUGCAGCGUGGGGGUGGUUGGAGAAUUUCGGCGGUGGUGGCUGGAAUCGCGGGUUAUCAGCUUGAUGGGGGGGUAGUGGAUUACAAGGGCUUUGACGGGUAGCCCGCCUGAGAGGGUGACCGGCGACAUGGGGACUGAGAUACGGCCCAGACUCCUACGUUAGGCAGCGGUGGGGAAUAUUGCACAAUGGGCGGAAGCCUGAUGUAGCAACGCCGCGUGCGUGAUGACGGCCUUUGGGUGGUAAACCGCUUUCGCCUGUGCCGAAGCGUGAGUGACGGUAAUUGGUAAAGAAGCACCGGCUAACUACGUG
rnacentral:rRNA from 1 species